rnacentral:rRNA from 1 species
AGAGUUUGAUCCUGGCUCAGAACGAACGCUGGCGGCGUGCCUAACACAUGCAAGUCGUACGAGAAAGUCUCUUCGGAGAUGAGUAAAGUGGCGCACGGGUGAGUAACACGUAGGUAACCUACCUCAAGGACCGGGACAACCCGCCGAAAGGCGGGCUAAUACCGGAUAAGACCACGGAGGCUUCGGCCUCUGCGGCAAAAGUUGGCCUCUGCGUGCAAGCUAACGCCAUGAGAUGGGCCUGCGGACCAUUAGCUUGUUGGUGGGGUAAUGGCCUACCAAGGCCGAGAUGGAUAGCUGGUCUGAGAGGAUGAUCAGCCACACUGGGACUGAGACACGGCCCAGACUCCUACGGGAGGCAGCAGUGGGGAAUAUUGGACAAUGGGCGAAAGCCUGAUCCAGCAAUGCCGCGUGUGUGAAGAAGGCCUUCGGGUUGUAAAGCACUUUCAGUGGGGAAGAAAAGCAGGGGGCCAAUACCUCUCUGUGCUGACGUUACCCACAGAAGAAGCACCGGCUAACUCCGUGCCAGCAGCCGCGGUAAUACGGAGGGUGCGAGCGUUAAUCAGAAUUACUGGGCGUAAAGGGCGAGUAGGUGGUUCGGUCAGUCGGAUGUGAAAUCCCCGGGCUCAACUUGGGAAUUGCAUUCGAUACUGCCGAGCUUGAGUGUGGUAGAGGGAAGCGGAAUUCCGGGUGUAGCGGUGAAAUGCGUAGAUAUCCGGAGGAACACCAGUGGCGAAGGCGGCUUCCUGGACCAACACUGACACUGAGUCGCGAAAGCGUGGGGAGCAAACAGGAUUAGAUACCCUGGUAGUCCACGCCCUAAACGAUGAGAACUAGCCGUUGGGGGUAUUAGAAACCUUUAGUGGCGCAGCUAACGCGAUAAGUAUCCCGCCUGGGGAGUACGGCCGCAAGGCUAAAACUCAAAGGAAUUGACGGGUCCCCGCACAAGCGGCGGAGCGUGUGGUUUAAUUCGAUGAUAAGCGAAGAACCUUACCUGGGCUUGACAUGCAUUUGACAACCCAUGAAAAUGGGCUUUCCUUCGGGACAGAUGCACAGAUGUUGCAUGGCUGUCGUCAGCUCGUG